rnacentral:misc_RNA from 1 species
GCGUAGACAGAGAAAAUGAAGCGAGAGGCUGUGACUUUGGUGCUGGUGAAUCUAGCUGGGAUCAUGGAGAGAGCAGACGAGUCUUUGCUUCCUGGAGUGUAUAAAGAAGUUGGUGCUGCCCUUCACACGGAUCCUACUGGACUUGGGUCCUUGACUUUGUUUAGGUCUAUAGUGCAGUCCUCUUGCUAUCCCAUAGCUGCAUAUUUAGCCGUCAGGCAUAAUCGAGCCCAUGUUAUAGCUCUUGGUGCCUUUCUCUGGGCUGCUGCUACUUUCCUCGUUGCCUUCUCUUCCACUUUCUUUCAGGUGGCUGUAUCGAGAGCUUUGAAUGGCAUUGGGCUUGCUAUAGUUGCACCUGCUAUCCAGUCCCUUGUAGCUGAUUCAACCAAUGAUAGCAACCGUGGCACAGCCUUUGGAUGGCUACAACUAACAGCCAACCUUGGUUCGGUUAUUGGGGGACUCUGUUCACUAUUGAUAGCUCCAAUAACAUUUAUGGGAAUCCCUGGAUGGAGGCUUUCAUUCCAUCUUGUUGGAAUAAUUAGUAUUGUAGUAGGAGUAUUAGUCUACCUUUUUGCCCGUGAUCCACACUUUUCAGAUGAUAAUGUGAAAGCUAGGAAUCAAGAUGCAAGUAAAUCCUUUUGGUNNNNNNNNNNNNNCUGUUUCAAGAAGCCAAAUCAGUUAUAAAAAUUUCAUCUUUCCAGAUAAUUGUGGCUCAGGGAAUUACUGGUUCAUUCCCUUGGUCAGCUAUGACGUUUUCAGCAAUGUGGUUAGAGCUUAUUGGCUUCUCCCAUGAGAAAACUGCAUUUCUCCUAGCAUCGUUUGUAAUUGCUGGUUCCUUUGGGGGCCUUUUUGGAGGCAAAAUGGGAGAUAUCCUUUCCACACGUUUCCCAAACUCUGGAAGAAUAAUUCUAGCACAGAUAAGCUCUGCAUCAGCAAUCCCUCUAGCAGCAUUGCUUCUGUUGGCUUUACCUGAUGAUCCAUCAACAGCAAUCGCACAUGGAUUUGUUUUGGUCAUUAUGGGGUUGUGCAUCACUUGGAAUGCUCCAGCUACAAACAAUCCAAUUUUUGCAGAAAUAGUUCCUGAGAGAUCCCGGACAAGCGUCUAUGCUUUGGAUCGAUCGUUCGAGUCCAUACUGUCAUCAUUUGCUCCUCCAAUAGUUGGAAUACUAGCUCAACAUGUUUAUGGUUAUAAACCCAUUCUUAAUGGAUCUACUGAAUAUGAAGAGAUUGAUACAGAUAGAAGAAAUGCUGCAUCAUUAGCCAAAGCUUUGUAUACAGCAAUAGGAGUACCAAUGGCCCUGUGUUGUUUCAUUUAUUCUUUCCUCUAUUGUACCUAUCCAAGAGACAGAGAGCGGGCUCAGAUGCAAGCAUUGAUAGAAUCAGAGAUGGAACAGUUGAUGUUAGAUGAUUCACCUAGAAGUGGAGAACACUCUCAAGUUCAGUUAUUUGAAGCUGAAGAACCAUCUGUUAAAGACAGAAGUGUUAUCGAAAUGAAUUAUGAGGGGGAGGAUGGUCUUGAUCUAGAUGCCGAUGAUGAGAAGAUGGUGCUUUACCGCCAGCUAACAUUCUCGAACUUAGGUGAGUAGCACAAUUUGAGUUUGAUAACGAUGACGAAGACGAGCAAUUAAUUAAUAGUUUCCAUGGCUGGUGAAAGUUAAAAGAAGAUGAAGCUGGCUUAACCUCCAAUGGCUGCUUCCUAAUAAAGCAUUUUGGCUUAUGAAACAACUCCAAAUUUCUUGGUUGGAUAUUGUUGGGAAUUUUUCUUAGUUAUGGUUCAUUAGAGUAGCCAUCUACGACUCUCUUGUUUUGGCCAUAAAUUAUUCAUUGGUGUGUGAUCAAUGAGAAUUACCGUAGGGA